rnacentral:rRNA from 1 species
AGCGAACAUUGGCGGUAGGCUUAACACAUGCAAGUCGAGCGAGGCUUCGAGCCGAGCGGCGAACGGGUGAGUAAUACUUGGGAAUCUACCCUGAAGUGGGGGAAAACGUCCAGAAAUGGACGCUAAUACCGCAUAAUCCAGAUUGGGAAAGCGCGCUGCGCUUUAGGAUGAGCCCAAGCCUGAUUAGCUAGUUGGUGGGGUAAAGGCCCACCAAGGCGACGAUCAGUAGCUGGUCUGAGAGGAUGAUCAGCCACACUGGAACUGAGACACGGUCCAGACUCCUACGGGAGGCAGCAGUGGGGAAUCUUGCGCAAUGGGGGCAACCCUGACGCAGCCAUACCGCGUGUGCGAUGAAGGUCUUCGGAUUGUACAGCACUUUCGGCGGGGACGACAAUGACGGUACCCGCAUAAGAAGUCACGGCUAACUUCGUGCCAGCAGCCGCCGUAA